rnacentral:tRNA from 1 species
UGAUAUUCUACUUAAACUACUUCUUG